GGGCGUGUGGUCUAGUGGUAAAGACGUUCGCCGCGGAAGCUGAAGACCCGGGUUCGAUUCCCGGCUCGGCCA
rnacentral:tRNA from 1 species